UUUCCUUUCAUAUUAGUUCCUUUGAUAAACAGUGUUGAGAGAGCAUUGCUAAAGGGAAAAUAGAAAAAAAAAGUUAUCAUCUAGGCAUGAAAUGAUUUCUUCAGAGAAAUGUUUUGAGACAUAUAAAGUAAUGUUUUAUCUGAUAGGUUAUUUUGCAUGUGGAUAUGGAUGGAGAUCAUUUUACAAGAUACUUUAUGCCUAUAAAUGGUUGGCUGAUUCAAUAAAUUCUCCUACUUCUGAAGGAAAGGAUACCUGAAUAAAUGGAUUUAAAUAUAUGAUUAAUGGCCGGGCACAGCGUCUCACAUCUGUAAUUCCAGAACUUUGGGAGGUUAAGGUGGAUGGAUUGCUUGAACUCAGGAGUGUGAGACCAGCCUAGGCAACAUGGUGAAACCCUGUCUCUGCAAAAACACAAAAAUUAGGCAGGUAUGUUGGCACGUGCCUAUAGUCCAAGCUACGGGGGAGGCUGAGGUGGGAGGAUCACUUGAACUGGGGAAGUUAAGGCUUCUGUAAGCCAUGAUCACACUACUGUACUCUAGCCUGGGCAACAGAGUGAGACCCUGUCUCAGAAAAAAGUAUUAGUAUCAGUCUCUCUAAAAUAUCUAAAAUAUUAUCCCUUAAAUAUUAUGCACCCUCUAUGUUGUCCCAUUGUAUUAGUAUAACAUCAUAGAUACCUACAUAGAUAUUUUAGCAGAUUUACUGACGUAUACUUGAGUAUAAAAUGUACGGUUUGAUAAGUUUAACUUAUGUUUGCACCUGUGAAACUGUUAUUGCAUUAAUGUAGCUAUAUUGCUACAUAAAUUUUCUUAACCAAAGAAUUUUUAAAAAGAGAAAAAUUUUAAAUAAAAUCACAAUUUAGGCAGUUAACUCCCAAAUUGGUUCAUUUUCUUUACCCAGUUUACACACUCAGGAUAACAUAGUUUGGUUAGUAGAUGAACUAGAAUAAAUUUUACAGCAAUUCUAAAAUGACCAAUAUUUUUAUUUACUUGUUUUUAACCUAACAGUUUCUUAAUGUUAUUGUAUCUCACUGGACAUCUUUGCAGCCCAAAUUUUUCUAGAUUCUGUAAUACAGAAUGUGUUUGACUUUACUUAUCCUUGUAGCUAGUAUUCGCAUGUACAAAUUCCAAAACAAAACGAGAUUAUUUACACAACUAGCUCUCAUUCUAAAACUAUUUAUGACUCCAAGGUGUAUUUCCUUUUCAUUAGUCUGUACCUGAGUUAAACAUUUCCAAAGAAAAAAGUGAGCGUCCUGGAAACCCUCUGUGUUGUCAGUCCCAGCUGUGCAGAAGGUGCCCUGGUGUUGUAACCGGCCUGGUCGUCUGACGCCUGCACCCGGAGAUAGCAGUUAGAUCUUGCCGAGCCAGAGUUGGUCUGUGACGUGCCUGCAGUGUCUUUGUGUCAAAAAUGUACAUUCUCCUCCUGCAUCUCUGUGACCGUAUGAAGGAGAGAGCAGAUUGCAACUCUUUUAACACAUUUCUCAGAGUUCUGAAGUGAGUUCUUUUUCUUGGAACUUGAUGCCUGGGUGCCUUGUUUUUCUGAGCUCAGAAAAUUCAUCUAUUUCUGAUCUGUAAAAACUUGCCUUUCGCCCCACAUGGAUAUUGAUUUUUUAAUAUCUUUAUUUCUUCUAGCACUUGUUCCUUUAAAGAUAUCUAUGCUAUUUUAUUGCCUAAGGUAAAGGGGAUAAAAUACUGUUUUCUAUAAUGUCUUCCCCAUCACAGCCUCAAUAUAAACAUUUAUGCUUAAAAAGAGUGUCCCGUGACACUGCUCCCAAACAACU
ensembl:lncRNA